rnacentral:rRNA from 1 species
AUUGAACGCUGGCGGCAUGCCUUACACAUGCAAGUCGAACGGCAGCACGGGAGCAAUCCUGGUGGCGAGUGGCGAACGGGUGAGUAAUAUAUCGGAACGUGCCCGGUCGUGGGGAUAACGUAGCGAAAGCUACGCUAAUACCGCAUACGAUCUACGGAUGAAAGCGGGGGAUCGCAAGACCUCGCGCGAUUGGAGCGGCCGAUAUCAGAUUAGGUAGUUGGUGAGGUAAAGGCUCACCAAGCCGACGAUCUGUAGCUGGUCUGAGAGGACGACCAGCCACACUGGGACUGAGACACGGCCCAGACUCCUACGGGAGGCAGCAGUGAGGAAUAUUGGACAAUGGGCGCAAGCCUGAUCCAGCCAUGCCGCGUGCAGGAAGAAGCAUCUAUGGUGUGUAACUGCUUUUGUACGGGAAGAACACUCCUACGUGUAGGAGCUUGACGGUACCGUAAGAAUAGGAUCGGCUAACUCCGU